UUGACCUCGAAUCAGGUAGGAAUACCCGCUGAACUUAAGCAUAUCAAUAAGCGGAGGAAAAGAAACCAACAGGGAUUGCCUUAGUAACGGCGAGUGAAGCGGCAACAGCUCAAAUUUGAAAUCUGGCCUUUGGUCCGAGUUGUAAUUUGCAGAGGAUGCUUCGGGCGCGGUGCCUUCCAAGUCCCCUGGAACGGGGCGCCGGAGAGGGUGAGAGCCCCGUACGGUUGGCGGCCAAGCCUGUGUGAAGCUCCUUCGACGAGUCGAGUAGUUUGGGAAUGCUGCUCUAAGCGGGAGGUAGACCCCUUCUAAAGCUAAAUACCGGCCAGAGACCGAUAGCGCACAAGUAGAGUGAUCGAAAGAUGAAAAGCACUUUGAAAAGAGGGUUAAACAGCACGUGAAAUUGUUGAAAGGGAAGCGCUUGUGACCAGACGUGCGCCGGGGUGUUCAGCGGGCGUUCUCGCCCGUGCACUCGCCCCGGUGCAGGCCAGCGUCGGUUUGGAUGGGGGGAUAAAGGCGUCUGGAAUGUGGCUCCUCCGGGAGUGUUAUAGCCAGGCGUGCCAUGCCUCCGUCCGGACCGAGGUACGCGUUCUGCAAGGACGCUGGCGUAAUGGUCUCCAGCGACCCGUCUUGAAACACGGACCAAGGAGUCGAGGUUUUGCGCGAGUGUUUGGGUGAAAAACCCGCACGCGUAAUGAAAGUGAACGUAGGUGAGAGCUUCGGCGCAUCACCGACCGAUCCUGAUGUUUUCGGAUGGAUUUGAGUAAGAGCGUAGGGCCUCGGACCCGAAAGAUGGUGAACUAUGCUUGGAUAGGGUGAAGCCAGAGGAAACUCUGGUGGAGGCUCGCAGCGGUUCUGACGUGCAAAUCGAUCGUCAAAUCUGAGCAUGGGGGCGAAAGACUAAUCGAACCAUCUAGUAGCUGGUUACCGCCGAA
rnacentral:rRNA from 1 species